rnacentral:rRNA from 1 species
UGCAUAUCCAAAAGCGGAGGAAAAGAAACCAACAGGGAUUGCCUUAGUAGCGGCGAGUGAAGCGGCAAAAGCUCAAAUUUGAAAUCUGGCUCUUUCAGAGUCCGAGUUGUAAUUUGAAGAAGGUAUCUUUGGGUCUGGCUCUUGUCUAUGUUUCUUGGAACAGAACGUCACAGAGGGUGAGAAUCCCGUGCGAUGAGAUGAUCCAGGCCUAUGUAAAGUUCCUUCGAAGAGUCGAGUUGUUUGGGAAUGCAGCUCUAAGUGGGUGGUAAAUUCCAUCUAAAGCUAAAUAUUGGCGAGAGACCGAUAGCGAACAAGUACAGUGAUGGAAAGAUGAAAAGAACUUUGAAAAGAGAGUGAAAAAGUACGUGAAAUUGUUGAAAGGGAAGGGCUUGAGAUCAGACUUGGUAUUUUGUAUGUUACUUCUUCGGGGGUGGCCUCUACAGUUUAUCGGGCCAGCAUCAGUUUGGGCGGUAGGAGAAUUGCGUUGGAAUGUGGCACGGCUUCGGUUGUGUGUUAUAGCCUUCGUCGAUACUGCCAGCCUAGACUGAGGACUGCGGUUUAUACCUAGGAUGUUGGCAUAAUGAUCUUAAGUCGCCCGUCUUGAAACACGGACC